GCCAAUGUAGCUCAGGGGUAGAGCACUUCCAUGGUAAGGAAGGGGUCGUAGGUUCAAUUCCUAUCAUUGGCU
rnacentral:tRNA from 1 species